GUCUAUGGCCAUGCCACCCUGAACAAGCCCAAUCCCGUUUGAUCUCGGAAGCUAAGUAGGGUCAGGCCUAGUUAGUAGUUGGAUGGGAGAUCACCUAGGAAGACCAGGUGCUGUAGGCA
rfam:Pteropus alecto contig83865, whole genome shotgun sequence.